rnacentral:rRNA from 1 species
AUUGAACGCUGGCGGCGGGCCUAACACAUGCAAGUCGAGCGAACGAAGGAGGAUUGCUCCUCUCUUACGCUACCGGCGGAUGGGUAAUGCAUAGGAAGAUGACUGAUCGUUGGGACUAACGUAAGUUAAGGAGCCCUGAUAUCGCAUACGUUAUGAGGGUGAAAGGGAUGGAUCUUCAGACAUCACGGUAUCUGAUGUGACUACGUCGGAUUAGCUAGUUGGUGAGGUAAAGGCUUACCAAGGCGACGAUCCGUAACUGAUCUGAGAGGAUGAUCAGCCACACUGGAACUGAGACACGGUCCAGACUCCUACGGGAGGCAGCAGUGGGGAAUAUUGCGCAAAGGGCGAAAGCCUGAUCCAGCCAUGCCGCGUGAGUGAAGAAGGUCUUCGGAUCGUAAAGCACUGUAAGUUGGGAAGAAGGAAAGUAAGAUAAUAUCUUGAUGUUUUGACGUUACCAACAGAAAAAGCAACGGCUAACUUCGUG